rnacentral:lncRNA from 1 species
AAAACAAAAAAACCAAAAUCACAGCUCCAAAUAAAGGUGGUUACACACAGCUCAAGUUGUUCCUGUCUGGUUUACAAACAGAUGGAAAAGAACUAUUUUCCUGUCCGCAGAAGCACCAUAAUGCUGAGAGCAAAGCCAAUUGUUCUAGCAGGUUCUGAAAAAAAAUCUUUCAGAUCAUGGGGUUCAAUGCCAAUAUCAAAUCGUAAAUAUAAGGAUCAAAUCUGAAAGUGAAUCCAGUUUCAGAGACCUCAGAAGCCACUGUGGAAGAACCUCCUUUCAGAUAGAGACAAGGGAUUGCGUGACUUUUUAUCUCUCGUGUCCACCGAAGUGUUCAGAACAUGACAGAUACUCCAUGUGCGUAGUCACAUUCUGUGUAUGUGCAUUUAUUUUCCAGCAGGACUAGAGGGCCUAAGCUUUGUUUCUAUGGUGACCCAGGGCCCAAAUGAGCAGUAGAAUCUUAGCGCAGUCGCCUACACGCCCAUUUUAAUUCUGUCCUUAUCCAAGCUGGUCAAAGUGUGGUCUGUAUUUUAAGGAGAUCCCCAGGUGAAUCUUGUGCAUGUCGAAAGAGGAGAGCACGGCCCUCAAAAUACAGAGCAGACAACCUGGGAGCUGUGACUCAUGCCUAAAAUCUCAGCACUUUGGGAGGCCAAGGAGGGAGAAUUGCUUGAGCCCUGAAGUUCAAGACCAGCCUGGGCAACAUAGUGAAACCUCAUCUCUACAAAAAAUUAAAAUUUAGACAAGUAUAGUGCCACAUGCCUGUAGUCCCAGCUACUCAGGAGGCUGUAGUGAGAGGAUCACUUGACCCCAGGAGUUCAAGACCACCGUGAGCUGUGAUCAUGCCACUGCACUCUAGCCUUGGAGACAGAGCAAGAUCUCAUCUCAAAACAUAAAACAACAAAAAACACUAUAAACUCACUUCAGAGGUAUUGGGGAUUUGGUUCAAGACCACUGCAAUAAGACAAAUGUUGCAAUGAAGUUAGUCAUGCAAAUUAUUUGGUUUCCGAGUGCAUAUAAAAGUUAUGUUUAAACGAUACUGCAGUCUAACGAGUAUGUUAAU